rnacentral:rRNA from 1 species
AACGAACGCUGGCGGCAUGCCUAACACAUGCAAGUCGAACGAGACCUUCGGGUCUAGUGGCGCACGGGUGCGUAACGCGUGGGAAUCUGCCCUUGGGUUCGGAAUAACAGUUGGAAACGACUGCUAAUACCGGAUGAUGAUGUAAGUCCAAAGAUUUAUCGCCCAAGGAUGAGCCCGCGUAGGAUUAGCUAGUUGGUGAGGUAAAGGCUCACCAAGGCGACGAUCCUUAGCUGGUCUGAGAGGAUGAUCAGCCACACUGGGACUGAGACACGGCCCAGACUCCUACGGGAGGCAGCAGUGGGGAAUAUUGGACAAUGGGCGAAAGCCUGAUCCAGCAAUGCCGCGUGAGUGAUGAAGGCCUUAGGGUUGUAAAGCUCUUUUACCCGGGAUGAUAAUGACAGUACCGGGAGAAUAAGCUCCGGCUAACUCCGUG